rnacentral:rRNA from 1 species
CUUGACGAUCAUAGAGCGUUGGAACCACCUGAUCCCUUCCCGAACUCAGAAGUGAAACGACGAAUCGCCGAUGGUAGUGUGGGGUUUCCCCAUGUGAGAGUAGGUCAUCGUCAAGC